CCUACGGGUGACAGCAGUGGGGAAUAUUGCACAAUGGGGGCAACUCUGAUGCAGCAACGCCGCGUGAAGGAAGACGGUUUUCGGAUUGUAAACUUCUGUCCGUAGUGAAGAAUAAUGCCGGUAGCUAUGGAGCAAGCCACGGUUAACUCCGUGCCAGCAGCCGCGGUAAUACGUAGGUGGCAAGCGUUGUCCGGAAUUACUGGGUGUAAGGGGAGCGCAGGCGGGAAGGCAAGUCAGCUGUGAAAACUACGGGCUUAACUUGUAAACUGCAGUUAAAACUGGUUGUCUUGAAUGAAAGAGAGGAUAGCGGAAUACCGAGUGUAGCGGUGAAAUGCGUAGAUAUUCGGUAGAACACCAGUGGCGAAGGCGACCAACUGGGCGUUAACUGACGCUGAGGCUCGAAAGUAUGGGGAGCAAACAGGAUUAGAUACCCGAGUAGUC
rnacentral:rRNA from 1 species